GAGGACCAGAAAGGCUAAAUUGAUCUAACU
rnacentral:piRNA from 1 species